rnacentral:rRNA from 1 species
GACGAACGCUGGCGGCGUGCUUAACACAUGCAAGUCGAACGAAGUGGCGAACGGGGGAGCAACGCGUAAUCAACCUGCCCUUCAGAGGGGGACAACAGGUGGAAACGACUGCUAAUACCGCAUACUGAAGGAGGGGAUUGCGUCUGAGUAGCUAGUUGGAGGGGUAACGGCCCACCAAGGCGAUGAUCAGUAGCCGGUCUGAGAGAGUUAACGGCCACCUUUGGACUGAGACACGGCACAUACUCCUACGGGAGGCAGCAGUGUGGAAUCUUCCGCAAUGGACGAAAGUCUUACGGAGCAACGCCGCGUGAGUGAUUGCGGCCUUCGGGUUGUAAAGCUCUGUUAGUCGGGACGCGGUACCUAAAUAGAAAGCCACGGCUAACUACGUGCCAGCAGCCGCGGUAAUUC